rnacentral:rRNA from 1 species
GAUGAACGCUAGCUACAGGCUUAACACAUGCAAGUCGAGGGGAAACGGCAUUGAGUGCUUGCACUCUUUGGACGUCGACCGGCGCACGGGUGAGUAACGCGUAUCCAACCUUCCCAUUACUGUGGGAUAACCUGCCGAAAGGCAGACUAAUACCGCAUAGUCUUCGAUGACGGCAUCAGAUUUGAAGUAAAGAUUUAUCGGUAAUGGAUGGGGAUGCGUCCGAUUAGCUUGUUGGCGGGGUAACGGCCCACCAAGGCUACGAUCAGUAGGGGUUCUGAGAGGAAGGUCCCCCACAUUGGAACUGAGACACGGUCCAAACUCCUACGGGAGGCAGCAGUGAGGAAUAUUGGUCAGUGGACGGAAGUCUGAACCAGCCAAGUAGCGUGCAGGAUGACGGCCCUAUGGGUUGUAAACUGCUUUUGUAUGGGGAUAAAGUUAGGGACGUGUCCCUAUUUGCAGGUACCAUACGAAUAAGGACCGGCUAAUUCCGUGCCAGCAGCCGCGGUAAUACGGAAGGUCCAGGCGUUAUCCGGAUUUAUUGGGUUUAAAGGGAGCGUAGGCUGGAGAUUAAGUGUGUUGUGAAAUGUAGACGCUCAACGUCUGAAUUGCAGCGCAUACUGGUUUCCUUGAGUACGCACAACGUUGGCGGAAUUCGUCGUGUAGCGGUGAAAUGCUUAGAUAUGACGAAGAACUCCGAUUGCGAAGGCAGCUGACGGGAGCGCAACUGACGCUUAAGCUCGAAGGUGCGGGUAUCAAACAGG